AAAGGGAGCGUAGGCGGCUGAUUAAGUCAGCGGUGAAAGGUAGCAGCUUAACUGUUUUACAUGCCGUUGAUACUGGUUAGCUUGAGUUGACAGAAGGCAGAUAGAAUUCCUGGUGUAGCGGUGAAAUGCUUAGAUACCAGGAGGAAUACCGAUUGCGAAGGCAGUCUGCUGCAGUCACACUGACGCUGAGGCUCGAAGGUGCGGGGAUCAAACAGGAUUAGAUACCCUAU
rnacentral:rRNA from 1 species